rnacentral:rRNA from 1 species
UCUUGGUCCAAUUAGAGGAAGUAAAAGUCGUAACAAGGUCUCCGUUGGUGAACCAGCGGAGGGAUCAUUACUGAGUUUACGCUCUACAACCCUUUGUGAACAUACCUAUAACUGUUGCUUCGGCGGGUAGGGUCUCCGCGACCCUCCCGGCCUCCCGCCUCCGGGCGGGUCGGCGCCCGCCGGAGGAUAACCAAACUCUGAUUUAACGACGUUUCUUCUGAGUGGUACAAGCAAAUAAUCAAAACUUUUAACAACGGAUCUCUUGGUUCUGGCAUCGAUGAAGAACGCAGCGAAAUGCGAUAAGUAAUGUGAAUUGCAGAAUUCAGUGAAUCAUCGAAUCUUUGAACGCACAUUGCGCCCGCCAGCAUUCUGGCGGGCAUGCCUGUUCGAGCGUCAUUUCAACCCUCAAGCUCUGCUUGGUGUUGGGGCCCUACAGCUGAUGUAGGCCCUCAAAGGUAGUGGCGGACCCUCCCGGAGCCUCCUUUGCGUAGUAACUUUACGUCUCGCACUGGGAUCCGGAGGGACUCUUGCCGUAAAACCCCCAAUUUUCCAAAGGUUGACCUCGGAUCAGGUAGGAAUACCCGCUGAACUUAAGCAUAUCAAUA